GUAAGAUUUAAGAUCGUUUCGUUGCAACAAAAAAACAGGGGUAGCAAAACGCGAGAUCCGAUUGGCCGAAAUUUUAGACAAAAGUUUUUUUUUUUUUGUUUCUUUUUUUUCUUUCUCUAGUGCUCGAGAGACGGUGAUGACGAAAACGAAGACAUGCUCUAUGCUUCUGCUGAAAAUUAGGGUCCUUUGUUGUUUGGAUUUUAAUCGGAAGAAUGGAUUUGACGGUGGUUGGAGUAGGCGCCGUGGUGUUGCUAUUGAAGGGCGACGUCAAGCAAACUGCCACCGUCGUAAGGUGUAACGUCAAGCACAUCCGUCACUAGCUCGAAGAAGAAUCCUCUGCCGCCUCCAAGUCGUAAUUCUGCUCUCUCUUGAUUCCUUAUGAUUUCUCCUUUGCGAAGGUGUGUUAUGUUUGUUAGUUUGGUGGGGUUUGUGGUUUCGUAAACCGGUUCACUCUCUCAUUUUCGAUUUUUUGCCGUGAGCUUAGUUGUGUUGGAAAGCUUAUGGUAUGAAUAUAAUAUCAGUUGUUUAAAUUCUAGGAUCAUCUGAGAUUUUGUAACUUGAGUAAAACAUAAAAAGAUUGAUUAUGAUGGCAGUGGUUUGGGUGGGCAUAGUUGUGUGAUUGAGCAAAAGUGUGACACUAUAUAUAAUGGUUCUUUGGAUUGAAGUGGUAGAUUUGAAGAAUUUUUUUGAAAGAAUUUGACUUAAGUAUUAUCUUAAUUGAAUCUAAUAUGUUUCUGAUUUGGUAUUUUGUUUGCAUCGACGAGGAGAGUUCCAGGUAUGUUGCAGGACAACAGUUGGCUCUUGUUUUAAACUCCCUGCUGGUGCAGAGGACAACAGUUGGCUCUUGCGUUCAUUCUGUGUGCUCGCUUCUGAUGCAGAGGUAAAAAGAGCUUUGUCAUACUCUCUUUUUGUUUGUAAAUGACAGAGAGAGAAAGAAACUUUAGUGGAUUUUAUGGCUUGUAUGUUUCAGUUAACAAUGGGUAGUAGGUUUCUGUUAUGUAUAUUUGCCUGUAUUUCAGGCAGAAAGUGCUGUUUCUGCGAUUUAUUGUAGUGGUAUUGUCUUGAGAGGGCUUCCAAUAAGGGUAAGUCCGUCAAAGACGCCAGUAAACUAAAGCUUAUCACUAUGGCCUUGAUUGGAAGAGCAUACAAAGAAGCUUUUUUUAUUUUAUCAUCCAAUCAACAUUUAUUAGGAGAGCAUAUAAGGGAGCAUUUAGAAGCUGCAGAUGCUUUCAUAUGCUCUCUUCUUAUAUGUUCUGAAACAUUUCCUAAGCAUAUAACUCUAAAAUAUUAAUAUAUAUUAAAAUCAUUUUAAAUAA